AACGAACGCUGGCGGCAGGCCUAACACAUGCAAGUCGAGCGAACCCUUCGGGGUUAGCGGCGGACGGGUUAGUAACGCGUGGGAAUAUACCCUUUGGUACGGAAUAGCCUCGGGAAACUGAGAGUAAUACCGUAUGUGCCCUUCGGGGAAAGAUUUAUCGCCAAAGGAUUAGCCCGCGUUGGAUUAGAUAGUUGGCGGGGUAAUGGCCUACCAAGUCUACGAUCCAUAGCUGGUUUGAGAGGAUGAUCAGCAACACUGGGACUGAGACACGGCCCAGACUCCUACGGGAGGCAGCAGUGGGGAAUCUUAGACAAUGGGCGCAAGCCUGAUCUAGCCAUGCCGCGUGGACGAUGAAGGCCUUAGGGUUGGUAAAGUACCUUUCUAGUAUGGGAAGGAUAAUAGACGGUACCAUCAGAAGAAAGCCCCGGCUAACUCGUGCCAGCAGCCG
rnacentral:rRNA from 1 species